rnacentral:misc_RNA from 1 species
CGGCGAGCCUGCUCUAGGCCGGUGUGGGCAGCAGCCCGGCGAACGGCCAGCAGCUCGGCCCCAGCACAGCCCUACUCUAGCCCCUGCAAUGGUGUUUCCCCACCUAUUUUUCCUACGUGGUUGCGUUGCCUGUGUCUCGCCGCGGUAGGCCGGCCAGCCGGCAGCGCCGAGGCUCCCACACCCCUGCUCAGCGGUGAAACCGCCCAGGCUAGCCCCUUCCUUCUCUGCCAUAGAUCCCUCCUCUUGCUUCAGGUUGAAGAACCACCCAUGGAGAAGAAGCAGCAUGUGCAGUUGUCCAUCCGUGGAGCUGGGAAGAGGGAGAAAAGAACUGCCAUAGCCAAAUUUGAUCCCCAUUUUGGAUCCUAUGUGGUUGUGCUCCCCGUGACACUUCGUGUGGCCACUUUGAGGCCAGUAGGAAUUAGCCACACCACCGGUAACCUGCGAGUCGCUAUUUAUUCAAUGUAUUAUGCGUUGUAGACCCGUUUCGACACAUUUCAGUCAUCGUCGAUUUUGUACUAGUAGCAUUAUUUUACCCCAUCGCAAGUUUUAAUUAAUUAAUUAGUAUUCAUUCGAUAGUUAUAAAAAAUGACCUUCCAAUUAAAUUUAAUUUAUAGUUUUCUUGCUUUUCUAUAAAUAAACAUUAGCAUGAUUAAUAUCAACUUAGAUAUUUAUUAUUUUUAUUAAAGCUUGCUUAGUUUAAACACGAUA